ACGACCUUACUUGAACAGGAUCUGUUCUAUAGGCUCGUACGCUGCAUAUGUUCAAAACAUCCUUAUUGAAGUAUCCCAAAAUAAGUAUGGAU
rnacentral:snoRNA from 1 species